CACACAGCUGACAAGUGGUGGAGCUGGGAUUCGAACCCAUGACCUCUGACUCCGAAGCCCAGGCUCUUUCUAAGGAGCCACGCUCUCCCAGCAGCCCCCGGGAGACAUUGGGAAUCUGAAGCAAAACCCCACCCGAAGCACAGUUCCAGCUUGUUCUGGCCUCACCUCUGGCUCAGGCACAGCAGUCUGACUGCACUUUGUCCAGGCAAGGUGGCUCUGAUGGCUGGGGCCAGAAGCUGAAUGGAAGCAGCCUCUUUGGAAGAAGGGAGAAGUUGCCUCUCUGCCUGAGAUUCCCUUCUAUCCUUCUUGUCGGCCUGCCUGGAGCUCUGCUUUGAACCACUGUCCUGGACAAGGGGCUGAAGCGAAGGUCGAGGCCUGGAGGAAGACAGGGGCGUAAGAGGCCGUGAACCUGGAACUAGGUUUGGAGACAUAAAGAGGGCAAGCGCUUAGUGCGGCACACAGCAAGUGCUCAAUAAUUGAAUGAACGAGGG